UACGUAGGGGGCAAGCGUUAUCCGGAUUUACUGGGUGUAAAGGGAGCGUAGGUGGUGCGGUAAGUCAGAUGUGAAAGCCCGGGGCUCAACCCCGGUACUGCAUUUGAAACUAUCGCACUGGAGUGCAGGAGAGGUAAGUGGAAUUCCUAGUGUAGCGGUGAAAUGCGUAGAUAUUAGGAGGAACACCAGUGGCGAAGGCGGCUUACUGGACUGUAACUGACACUGAGGAUCGAAAGCGUGGGGAGCAAACAGG
rnacentral:rRNA from 1 species